GGAGAAGUGACAGCUAACUUCACAUGAGGACAUGUGACCUGUCAGGAUGGCCGUGUCGGAGAUCGAUAUUAAAAAAAGAUAACUUCAAGUAUAAGAUGACGUGAAGUACGAAAAUAUAAAAUAAUAAAUGACGCUUGAAUGACAGAGUUAGUCGAGAUUAGGAGUUGACAGUUCGGCAUGUUUCUCCUCGACAUAUAUAUCUGCUGUGAGUUGUGAGGCUCGACUCGAAAAAAAGUUUUUCUAUCCUGCAGGUUUGAUGUUUGAUAGUUUGAUAUAUUGAAAUAGUUAUGUACCCACUAAACUGGAGGUAUUCUGGAACGCCCAUGGCUAUUCACUCACGAUACCGCGCCCGCGGGUCAGACUGUGCGAAUGCGAAUAGUGCUCAAGCACACCCAACAAAUUUAUACUGGUCGGAUGUACUCUUAGAGCAUAAUUCGGAAUGCGGCUCACUGUUUUUGUUCUGCUGGAGGAUCCUUUUUCUCUUUCCACCUCGGUCUGUCUAUAUUACUAUAUCGCUGAAACGUACAUCGAAGAUCGAGCAAUUACACUUCUGGGUGCCAUUUUGUUAUGUGCAAUUUGAUUUCGGCUUAUAUAAAGAAAGAAAAUCAUGGAAACUGGGAACACACAGCGCAUACCAAAAGAUGAAGUCGUAUAUUCAACGUAAACAGAGCGAUGACCACUAACGCGAAUGGAACAACGAAGUUUCGGAAAAUGCAAAAAAUCACUGAACGCUGCAAGUUUUCUGGAAUAAUUUCAUUCUCGACCGUGUGUGUUUAUAGAUACCAACUGACUUAAUAACCAAAAAAUACAAUCAUGCUAAAAGUGCUACAAUGUGAAAUUUUUCCGUUGGAAGCAAAAAAUGUGGUUUGUGUUGUCAAUUUAUCUGUUGUGAAACCUCAGUUUCUUCAGAAAUCUCAGGAAAUUGUCUAAAUUUCCUCUUUUA